UCCGGCUUUUUCUGUUUAUGUGGUACUGAGGAAUGGAACCCAGGGCUUCAUGCUUGCUAGGCAAACACUCUACUAAUAAGCCACAUUCUUAGCCCUGUCUGAGACUCUU